GGCAUUUAUGUUGUCACAAAUUAGAUCAAUCCACAUGUACUCAUAAGCUGUCUCUCACUCCUGUAUCUUCUUUGCCCAUUUCCCCUGCUUCAGUGUCCCUGCCCUAAGUCCUAAACUCUUGAAAGAUUUAGGUCAAAGUUGUCAAUCUUUAAGAGGAGGCUUGCGUCCAACAUAAAACUUAGAACACAGCUUGUUUGAUAUCUGAAACGUGAUACUAUUCACUGUGACUGUCACAGUAAGUGACAUAACUAUAGAUGGGUCUGAGCCUCACUGUUUACUAGCAAUGUGCUCGUCACCAUAGUGCUAGCAACUUCUGGCCAACAGUACCUCAUGCAGAUUGUUCCUGUCCACAGUAGGAUUAAUCUAAGUGGGGCAGGGUGUAUGUAUGUGCCAUUGGAGAAUUAGGAGGAGUAUGGGCAUAAACCUGGAGAUUCUUGACCCAUGAUUUGUAGGCCUUCUCUUUCAGUGCCUUCUCCAUAGCUCAUGUCAUGGAGGGACUGGAAAACUGACACUCUUUGGUUGGAGCAAAGCUGGAUCAGAAAAUUUAUGCUUCAAGCCCUCCCAGCUUUGGGGUUUGUUCCUUGCCAGUGCCUUUGCACAGCACUGUGUCCACCAGUGUUCUCUCAGCCUGUGUGCUGGGGACAGAGUUUGGCUUGUGGGUAACAAGUUACUCUGCUGCAUUGCUGUAAUGAAGUCUACUAAAAACGUGAUCCUUGAUAGCCAACCCCCUUGACCUGAAAGUAGAGGCACUAUGUAAAGCUUAAGUCUUCUGUUGAGCUUCUGAUGCUGCACUUACCACUCUGGUAUCUGAGCUCCUGCUUUUCAAUGCACUGUGAAAAAGUAAUUGAUUUGUUAGUUAGCUACUGGCAUAUAACCAUCUAAGCAGAGAGCUGUACUGUGCACAGCUAGGGAAAUGCCUAGCAGUGUCUGCUUUCAGAGUGAUGGGUAACUCCAAAAAUGUGAUUACACAUCUGAGCGUUUUUGUUUGGUUUUUUGUUCCACUGCAUGAAUUAACUUAAUCCGCAAAAGAAGCGAGCCUUCAGGCCAUUGACUGUAUUUUGUAUCUGGUUCAAAAUUUGAGAUCCCCAGAAGUUUACCAAACUCUCAGGUCAGUUUUCAUGGCAGAAAAAUAAAUCCUUAAACUCAGCACAACUUAUUAAUAACCCUGACAAUUCCACUACUUUCUAGAGAGAAGUUAUUAGGAACCAUGUUAAGAAUCCAGGUAAAGCCACCUGAUAUCUUCCCUUGGUACCUUUCCUUCCAGUUUCAAAAGCAAGCUGCAUUGAGAUGGGCAGGUCUAGUACGCUGACAGCGUUUAGUUAGAGAGCAAACUGAAAAUAAUUUGAUAUUACACAUUCUAAAAUAUUUUCAGGGAUUUUACAUUAGGAAGCAGCUCUUCACUUUCUCUGCCAUAUAAAGCUUUCCAUUUGGAGGGUCAGGCUUUCAAAAGUUACCUGUGAAACAAACUGCAGGAUUUCCCUGUCCUGAGUUUUUGCAUCUCAACUUUUCACAGCUGAGUUUUUGCACAGGCCGAACAUCAGUUAUGGUGGAAAUGGCAUUUGUGCAUGCAAAUCGAGACAUUUUGCUACCCAUUUAUAUACCUAAACUUCACACAUACCUCUGAGAUUUUUGCAGCUGUAGAAAAAAUUCAGUCACAGCUGUAGGGAUAGCAGUUGAAGGCCAUUUGAAAAUGUAGGCCUAGACUUUAUUGAAAUACUACAUAGAGGUGGUUGGUAAGCAGUGAAGUGGCUUUUCUACAUAUAUACUCAGGCCUAGAUAUGCAGUACAAUCUAUUAGUAAAAUAAGCAAUAUUGUUUGGUAUCCAUCUGAAUAAAUGGUGCUAUAUAAAUGUAAGAUCUUUUCCAUCAAUGCCUAUAUUCAGCCUUCAUUUUAUCAAUGAUCUUGAACUUCUAACAAAAUCUGACACGGGGAUUAGCUGGGUUCCCCCCCCAACUUCCUCAUUUACACACCUACUUUUAUAUAUAUAUAUAUAUAUUUGCAUGUUAAAAUAUGUAUCUGGUGAAAUUGUCUCCAGUCUGCAGGGUAGAUAUUGUUCCUGGUUCUUACCUCAUCCCAGUGUAAAUUGGGAGUAAUUGCAUUGAAGUCAAUGUGAAGUGCGAUCAUAAUCUUUCCCUCAACAUGCAAGAUGUACUAAGAGCCUGUUAGAAAGCUCAUUGAAGUCAGUGGAAGUCUUUCUGCUGACUUCCAGGAGCUUUGGAUCAGACCCUAAAGAGUUCAGCCCCAACUCCCCUUGAAAUCAAUAGAAGGACUCGUAUUGACUGCAUUGGUAUCCUAAAGGAACAUGAAAGGAUAUUGUGACUGAGCUGCUUAAAGUUAUCAGGUUACCACUUUUUUAUCUAGAAGUCUGCUAAAAACCAUCAAGUCUCACUGCAUAGCUGAACAGAUUAAAAUGGGACCGAUGGGGUGUUUAUCGUUAGUUGCAGGGGAAACAGACACAGAACAGUUCUGCUUGUUGCGUAAAGAUCGGCAGCACUUUAUUUUUUUUUAUUAUUAUUAAAAAUUGCUGACUUUGCAGUGAGGAAGAGAAAAAGUGUAUGAGGGAGAAGAAAAAAGUAUACAGACUUUUCAUUCUGUCUGGCAUUUACCAGAAAUCUGCUUUCCUAAAUCUUUUGAGUUGAACAAAUACCCAUGAUGCAUGGAGACUUGAACAAUAAGAUCUUGCCCCUUAGUGGUGGUUUAUAAUUCUGAGACCCCUUUAACACCUAAUUUCUGUAAAUCUGAACUCUUGUUUGUUUCAGUCUACAGGUUUUAUCACAUUCAGUCUCGUGACAGUGCUUAUUGGGUGCACUGGAAACUGGACUGGGAGUUUACAGACCUUGGUUCAAUUCCUGGCUCUGCUGCUGUUUUGCUGUGGGCCUAGUCACUUACAUCUGCCUCAGUUUCUUCCUCUGUAAAAUGGGGAUAAUGAUACUUCAUCUUUUGUAAAGCAGUUUGAGAUCUAAAGAAAAGCUCUGUAGAAAUACUAAGUAUUGUUAUGAAAAGAGAUUGACCCAAUUUAUAUGAAUUGUGGUAUAAAUCUCUGCUAUAAGCUUGAACUUUGUAUUCUAUUUCUGCUCACCAGCUAAGGGGUUUAAACAACACAUCUCUCAAAAAGAGGAUUUCUGCCCAGAGCAGUCACACUCUCCCUCAGUUUAAUGAGUUCCAAUUCAGUUCUGUGUGGCACCAAACAGAUGUAGGCUCUCAACCCGUCCCCACUAUCUGUCUGCAAUUUACAGAGAAUUUCAGGUGACACCUACUGUCUACCUCGCCUUCAGUGGGUUCAUAUUGUAGAUUGAGUACUACAGAUUGUUUGGGAACCGGAUUAAUUCUUAGCUUCCCUAAAAGCCAAACACAAGCUAUGCUUUACUCAGACCCAAAUUAUUGGUCUCAAUACAGGGGUAUCUGGGUGAAAUAAUGGCCUGUGAUGUACUAGAUCAGCAUUUCUCAAACUGGGGUCCAUGGGUCCUGCUGAUUAACUCUUCCCAGCACCUUCUGCAUGUCAGGGAACUGUUCCCCUGUGUGCAGGAGGCGCUGGAAGGGAGUGGGAAGAGUGGGACAGGCUGCACAGGGAGAGGGCAGAAAGAUGCAGGGAAGAGGAGGGACAGGGGUGAGUGCAAGCAGGGCUUGGGACUGAGCAGGUGAUUUGGGGGUCCUUGGAUUUUCAAAGUUUGAGAACCACUGUACUAGAUGAUCUAAUGGUCCCUUCCGCCCUUAAACUUUUUACAUCUCUGCAACCCAACACAUCGGCUACUGUAGUUCUCUUAGGGCCUUAUGCUUCCUGCCAACAGCACAGCCAUGGGCAACAAAAACCAGAAACUAGCUGAGGUUGAGGGAGCAAGAGCACAGCAGGGAUGGGGACGAGGGAUACUCUUGGCAGCACGAUCCCCUCACAGAACUGUUGAGAUUUCUUUGUGGGAGAUAAUACUGGGUCUAUUGGCAGGCUCUGCCAUGGCUUUCCCAUCCCCUAGAGAAAUACCCCCUGCAGGGAGAAUCUCUAUAUCAGCUGCCGGAAGGGAGCUAUGUGGACAAGUGUAGAUGUGCUGACUGUGAGUGCCCCAAGCUCCUGGAGAUUUUCUCACAGAGCUGAGGCAAUGUCUGCACUGCGAGCACUCGUGUAGACUUUUCCUACAUUGAGGGAAGGGGGUUUUCCAAUCACUGUAGCUAAUCCACCUUUCUGAGAGCCAGUAGCUAAGUCAAUGGAAGAAUUCUCCCAUCAACCUACCUACGUUUGUACUGGGAGUUAACCUAACUACGUCACACAGGGCACAAAAUUCUUCACAGCCCUGAGCAAUGUACCAAGGUUGAUCUAAUUUGUAAGUGCAGACCAGGCCUUAUUAGGGUAUUACAGGUUUGGAGCAUCUCAGUUCAGCCAUCCCCUCCUCCCAACAGGUUGAUCUGUUGAAAAUCCUGAAUAUAGUGGAGCUUCCUGGGCCCUGUGUGGUUUUCUGACCAGUGGAUGAUAUGACCUUAGAAUCUGGGACUCUGAAAAUUACUUGAUUGUAGGAAAUGUGCACAAAAAAGUCCAGUAAUACCCAAGAGUCUCCAGGUACCAGCUUUCUGCUAGAUCUCUGUGCAUCUGUAAGCGCUUGAAAAGGCAAGACCAGCCAGAUCACACUGCUAAGCAACGUCUUGCCAUCUUGAGUGAAUCCAUUUAGUUUGCAGCCCCAGAUUUUGACAUUCCAGUACAUGUGUUUGGUUUUAAAACCAAAAGCCUCUGUGAGAUCAGGCAGGGGUUUGAGAGCAGUUAUAAUAUUUGGUGCCAGUGGCAUUUCUAGGUAAUAGCAGAAACAGUCAGCAGUAUGAAGCUUUUGUAGUUCACAUUACUGGGAAGCAGUUCCAGCUUUUCUGUCCAUUCUUGGGAUGGUUAAUUAUUGACCUGCUGGUGCCAAUUGAAAGCUACUUGGGGGGAGGGGGGGAGGAGAAGGGAAGGGAAUUGACUGUUCAGUAUCAGGACAGUUCUGAAUAAUUUGUCUGGUGUUAUCUACACUUCAUUUCCAGUGCCCGCUACUGCUUUUGAUUAUACACCAAGAUAAAGUAAAAUGAUAAAAGUACUAUUGCCACUAAAUCACAUAGUCUUAGGGGCCCAAUCUGGCAAGUUGCUGAGUGCUCUUAAUUUCUUUUGACUUGAGUAAGAUAUUUGGUGGGGUAAUGACUGCAGGAUUUGGCCUGCCCAUUGCUUGUCUCCAGUAAUUUUUGGCCUCUUAAGUGAGUGUGUGUGUUUCAUAACAGUUUUCUGCAGCAAGGCCCCUUCCUCCCUCUGCCCUAUUCCCACUGAUUUUGAUUGGGGCACAGGCUCUCCAUUUUUCCUUCUUUAUUAAAGAUGUGUCAUGCUGUUUUGCAUUGCAAGACUGCAGGCACACAGGUAGGUUUUGGACAGAUAUGUAAAACCCGGUAUGGUUACAAAGCAACAUACCAAGGCAUUUUAAUAUAAUGGUCUUAUGGCUGUUUGAAUUGUUUUUAUUCUGAACUUAAGCACAGCUCAUACGCAUGAAUAAAAUGUGAAGACAAAGUAAAUGAGCGUCAGAAGCAAUCCUCCUUUUCUUUGAUACAUUGAACAAAUUGGUGCCUGUGCUACCAUAAAAAUUUGCUAGGAGGUAUUUUUUUAAAUGAAUGGAUUUGAUGAUUGUUAUAUAAACACUCGGGGAAACACAGGCUUCAGAUGUGCUCUUGCUUUGGCCUUGUUUAAGGUUUUCUGUUCUAUUGUAGGACAGAACUUCUGUGCUACUGGUAUGUAGCAUUUGUCAAGCAGCUCUGUUAAAUGUGCAAUGCAAUUUUAUAUUUACAACCAAAACAAUAAAUGUUAUUUUUUGGAAGAAAA